rnacentral:lncRNA from 1 species
GAUGGUUUCCUGUUGUGGACCAGGCUUUAUGAACCUCACAUGCUCCAUUAAAUCAUGCACAUCAAAGUGUGUUCCCCACACUGGGCAGUCACCACUGGCAGUCUGCUUUUGGGCCUGAAGCUAAAGGAGGCAGGGACUUGUUUUUGUGACCCCAGGCCCAGAGAGAGAACAAACUGAGCCUUUCCCUUCAGCUGAUGUAGCAAACCAGAAGAAAAUGAAGAGGGGGAGAUGCAGAUGCCUUUCUGAAAAGGAGUAGGAGGAGCUAAAAGCACAAAGAUGAACCAGCCAUGCCCACUUGGGAUUAUGUCUUUGGGCUGCAUACCCAUGCAUUUUGCAUAUCCAUCCAGAGGAAAUAUUGAGGAGAUGCUCAAUUCUCCCAUCAUCCAAAUACUGCUCUGAAAAUCAGUAGGCCUCUGAGGGGGCUGUGCCAAAUGCUUCACGUUUGAAGAGGCCUCUGUAAUUCUGGGUGUUCACUACUGCAACUCCAUCUUCCAUCACAGACUUCGGAACCCAGCCACAUCAGAGCCCAGGGUGCAGGCCCCAUGUGCCUUCCCAAGCUGAGGGAAUGGCAGGGAUGCCCUACACUUCAAAGGGUCGGAUGACUGCCAGUCUGGGGGUCUGUAUCCAAUGCCUCACUACAGUCUUGCAGUGGUAAUAUUAUGCAACUGGGUUUCAGACAUGUCCAGGCACAUGCCAUUUUCCAGAGCAGAAGCUCUUUACAGCAGAAGGGAGGACAGUGAAACACAAAGCCUAGAAAACUGGGAGCAUUCUACAAACCACACUGCAUAGACCUAAAAGCACUGAAGAGACAGAGACAAGACUUCUGUUCAUAAAUUGCUGAGCAAUGAGGUCUCCAGGAAAUGUGAGCUCCUGUGAACAGCUCGUGACAAUUCUACACCAAGAGGCUGUUCUGCCUGCUUCAACUAACCUGCCAUGUCACACCAAACAAGGCAGCCUUACACCUGGACAACUCCGGCUGACAGUCACUGGCUGAG